AGUCCUUUUUGGAAGAGAAGCAUGUCUUGUAGGCAUAGAUUUAGGAACUUCUAUAGUGUAGCAUUUACUAACUCUUAGGCAUUAGAGUAGUAUAAAUAGUAGUUCAUUUUACUUGUAAAGCAUCCAAUAAUUUCCAGCAAGUAAUAGAAGUUCCUUCUUCAAAAAUUCUGUCUACUUCUUAUUUUCUUAGCGAUCCGAGUGAGAGGCUAACUUGAGUUUGCAAGAACGUGCAAGAAUCGUGAGUAAACCGUCAAGUGCCGCACAGAGUAUUGUCCGAAUCAAAAAGUCCGUGACACUACGCUCUAUAUACAUUAGCAUGGGAUAACAUUAUAGGAUUUCGGUCAUAUUACGUUUGCCUUCAGGAUCGGAGUAAUGAUUAACAAGGACAGUCAGGGGCAUUCGUAUUUCAUAGUCAGAGGUGAAAUUCUUGGAUUUAUGAAAGAUGAACAAUUGCGAAAGCAUUUGCCAAGAAUAUUUUCAUUAACCAAGAACGAAAUUUGGGGGCUCGAAGAUGAUCGGAUACCAUCCUAUUCUCAACCAUAAACGAUGCCGACCAGGGAUCGACGGAUGUUGCUUUUAGGACUCUGCCGCCACCUUAUGAGAAAUCAAAGUUUUCGGGUUCCAGAGGGAGUAUGGUCGCAAGGCGGAAACUUAAAGGAAUUGACGGAAGGGCACCACCAGGAGUGGAGCCUGCGGCUUUUUUUGACUCAACACGGGGAAACUUACCAAGUCCAAACAUAGUAAGGAUUGACGGACUGAGAGCUCUUUCUUGAUUCUAUGGGUGAUGGUGCAUGGUCGUUCUUAGUUGGUGAUGCGAUUUGUCUGGUUAAUUCUGUUAACGAACGAGACCUCAUCCUGCUAACUAGCUAUGCGGAGGUAUCCCUUCGCGGCCAACUUCUUAGAGGGACUACGACCUUUUAGGCUGCGGAUGUUUGAGGCAAUAACAGGUUUGUGAUGCCCUUAGGUGUUAUGGGCCGCACGUGCGCUACACUGAUUAUUCAACGAGCUUAUAGCCUUGGCCGACAGGCCAGGGUAAUCUUUGAAAUUUCGUCGUGAUAGGGAUAUAUUAUUGCAUUUAUUGGUCUUCAACGAGGAAUUCCUAGUAAGCGCGAGUCAUCAGCUCGCGUUGACUAUGUCCCAGCAUUUUGUACACACCACCUGUCGCUCCUACUGAUUGAAUGAUCCGGUGAAAUGUUCGGAUCGCGGUGACAUGGGCGGUUCACUGCCCGCGACGUUGCGAGAAGUCCAUUGUACCUUAUCAUUUAGAGGAAGGAGAAGUCGUAACAAGGUUUUCAUAGGUGAACCUGCGGAAG
rnacentral:sRNA from 1 species